UGAACGCUGGCGGCGUGCCUACUACAUGCAAGUCGAGCGAACAGACGAGGAGCUUGCUCCUCUGACGUUAGCGGCGGACGGGUGAGUAACACGUGGAUAACCUACCUAUAAGACUGGGAUAACUUCGGGAAACCGGAGCUAAUACCGGAUAAUAUAUUGAACCGCAUGGUUCAAUAGUGAAAGACAGUUUUGCUGUCACUUAUAGAUGGAUCCGCGCCGCAUUAGCUAGUUGGUAAGGUAACGGCUUACCAAGGCAACGAUGCGUAGCCGACCUGAGAGGGUGAUCGGCCACACUGGAACUGAGACACGGUCCAGACUCCUACGGGAGGCAGCAGUAGGGAAUCUUCCGCAAUGGGCGAAAGCCUGACGGAGCAACGCCGCGUGAGUGAUGAAGGUCUUCGGAUCGUAAAACUCUGUUAUUAGGGAAGAACAAAUGUGUAAGUAACUAUGCACGUCUUGACGGUACCUAAUCAGAAAGCCACGGCUAACUACGUG
rnacentral:rRNA from 1 species